GUGGGGAAUCUUAGACAAUGGGCGCAAGCCUGAUCUAGCCAUGCCGCGUGAGCGAUGAAGGCCUUAGGGUUGUAAAGCUCUUUCGCUGGGGAAGAUAAUGACUGUACCCAGUAAAGAAGCCCCGGCUAACUCCGUGCCAGCAGCCGCGGUAAUACGGAGGGUGCAAGCGUUAUCCGGAAUCACUGGGUUUAAAGGGUACGUAGGCGGUUAAUUAAGUCAGUAGUGAAAGACUGUCGCUCAACGACGGAUGUGCUAUUGAUACUGGUUAACUUGAAUCAGGUUAGAGUUGGCGGAAUGGGUCAUGUAGCGGUGAAAUGCUUAGAUAUGACUUGGAACACCGAUAGCGAAGGCAGCUGACUGAGCCUUGAUUGACGCUGAGGUACGAAAGUGUGGGUAGCGAACAGGAUUAGAAACCCCUGUAGUCC
rnacentral:rRNA from 1 species